UUAGUGAAUUGAAUAUGUUAGCGGACCUCUUCGGAGUCCCUAGCAUCAAAUCAUAUCCAUAACACCUGUGAACUGUAAGGCUGUCUUGAAAACGAAAGUUAUUAGAGCAGCCUGCCCAUUUUAUACAAACAUUAAAGUAACAAACGUAGUCUUAUUAUAAUCUAAUAAAACUUUCAACAACGGAUCUCUUGGCUCUCGCAUCGAUGAAGAACGCAGCGAAAUGCGAUAAGUAAUGUGAAUUGCAGAAUUCAGUGAAUCAUCGAAUCUUUGAACGCACCUUGCGCUCUUUGGUAUUCCGAAGAGCAUGCCUGUUUGAGUGUCAUGAAAAUAUCAACCUUGACUUGGGUUUUGUGCUCUUGUCUUGGCUUGGAUUUGGCUGUUUGCCGCUCGAAAGAGUCGGCUCAGCUUAAAAGUAUUAGCUGGAUCUGUCUUUGAGACUUGGUUUGACUUGGCGUAAUAAGUUAUUUCGCUGAGGACAAUCUUCGGAUUGGCCGAGUUUCUAGGACGCUUGUCCGCUUUCCAAUACAAGUUCUAGCUUGCUAGACAUGACUUUUUUAUUAUCUGGCCUCAAAUCAGGUAGGACUACCCGCUG
rnacentral:rRNA from 1 species